UUCUCCUUCGUGAGCAAUGUCAUGGAUGGUGGGUGUUGCUGUGGCCUCUCCACUGCUGUGCAGCCUGCUGACCUGGAGAGAGU
rnacentral:pre_miRNA from 1 species